UUUAUUUUUAAUCUAUUACAAGUCUGUGAAUGAAUCUUCUAUUAUUUAUGGGGGAGGAUAAAGGGAGCCGUCCCUGUGGCUGCAGGCAGACUCCGCUUUCAGUUCAACUCUUCUUUCCAGACAGGGAAAGUGGACACCUGCUGUUAUCCAGGACAGAGAUAAGUGAAGGGAGCUGUGUGAAAAGGGAGAAAUCCACAUGUUCUGUGGGAGAACGGGGCCUGGGGAUGAUGGAUCUCCAUGGGUGCUGGGUUUGUGUCUAUGCUCUGCGGGUUCCCAGAUCUCCAUGGGUGCUGGGUUUGUGUCUGUGCUCUGCGAGUUCCCAGAUCUCCAUGGGUGCUGGGUUUGUGUCUGUGCUCUGUGGGUUCCCAGCUCACCACAGGGUGAAUUUCUCCACUGGAUAAAAACCUUCCCCUCUCCCAAGGGGAUCAGAGCCUUUCAGCCAUGAGUUGUGUCACCCCAGGGUCUCCAUUCUGUGCUGGACCAGCUGCAGGAGCUGCUGCAGCCCCGAGGCUUUGCUGCUUGAGCCCGGCCUGGCCCUGUCAGCUCGGGCCCUCCGCUCCUGCUCAGCACCACGGACCCACUGCAGCCAAGGCCCAUCCUCUUCCCUGCUGCUCACCCUUCUGGGGCCGAGCUGGGAAUGCUGACACAUGUGGGAAUCCUCGUGGGAUAUUCCCGGUGAGGUAAUGGAGAUUCCUGUUGAUAAAGGGCUUGAUGGCGCUCAUGUGUUGAACAUUGUGUGCUGAUAACUGAGACUCCUCCACAGCUCAGAGGCCACUUUGCUGAGGAGGGGCUGGCCCUGACCCCUGGGAGAAGGGGAAUGUGGAGAGAGGGGUUUCCCCUGCUGCCACCACAGGAUUUGGGUUUAUCCUCUCUGACUGCACAUCCCACUAUUAAUGAGCAUCCAGAGUACCAUUUGAAUUUUAAUGACAUCACAGAUGCAGCGCUGCUAAUUGCUCAUUUGCUUAUCUGGAAUGAGUUUUAAAUCUGUGAAAGAAACCUGAAUCACAGGAAACCUCUUGUGCAGCUGAUCAGGGCAGGGUUAGAAAAGCAGCUGUCUGUGGUUUAACCCCCUCAGUGGCAGUUCCUCUCCUCUCCAUCCCAUUGCCCACCUUGAAGCACUCAUCAGCUGGGAUUCAUGGCUGGGAUAAAAACAAAGGAUUUAAAAGGGAAAAUCUCCACAGCCUUGGUACUCACAGAGAUGCUCUGAGAGCCUGGCUGGGUUUGGAUGUCCCUGGCUGGGCCGAGGGACAGAGGAGUGGUUUCAGUCCUCAAUUAUCUCUCCCAGGUCUCUUCCUGCAGAAGGGAGAAGCCCAAAUCUUUGUUUCCUGAUGCUCACAGCAGAGGCCAGGCUGAUACCUGAAUUUGGAAAGUAGGGCAGCGAGAAACCCCGGGCAGAGCACAGCAACAGCUUCCUGCUGAAAGGGGAGAGCCAGGCAUUCGAUUACUCCUGCUGUGUGUGGUCCUGGGAGGCAACUUUCCUUUUCCCCCUCCUCGGAUAUCACCUCCAAAGGCAGGGAGGUGACAAGCAGCACUUCAACUUCCCCCGUGUUCCAAAGGAAGUGAGGUGAAAACUCUGCCUGUGUCAGCAUUCCCAAAAAGCUGCCACCGGUGCCUCCGUGGAGGGGACCCACUGCAGAGGGAAACCUGCAGACAAUGCCUGCUUUGUCCCCUCCCUGCUUCUCGGGAGCCCUGAGAUGCUGAGUCCAAACAUUUAACCACAAAAUGCAUUAAUUACCAUCCAGCUCCCCGGGGAAAGGACCAUAUGCCAGUAACCAGGGGAAACAAAAAAGGAAGAAGCACGCAAAGGCCACUGAUUGUUAAAUGACUCCAAGUGCAAUUACUGCCACUGAAAGUUCUUGAUGAGCAUUUCCUAGAAACAUUGAGUUCUCCAGCCUCUGUGCUCCGAGCGGUGCUAACUUGGACCGUGGAGCAGAGGAGUGACCCAGAUACUGUGGGAUGAAGUCACCUUCCCACAUAAUGCCACGGGACGUGUCCUGUGCUGCUCUAACUCUGCCUCAGCCCGCAGCACAGAGCUGUUCUCUGUGGGUUUCUCCCCAGUGGCAGCUGUGAGCUCUGGGGCCGGCUCCACUCAUGUCCUCAGCUGCUCACUGCGGCUAAUCCUAAAGCCUGGCAGCCACCCCGGAGGAAAAUGAGCCAUCCAGGGACAGCUGGUUGGGAAUCACAGCAAACUGCAAACAGUCUGACACCGGCAGAAGUUGGAUUUCCCCCACAGUCCUUGGAAAUCUGGUGGGUUCCCACCCUUCCAGCAGCUCCAAACCAAACUCUGCUCGGCACAGAGGCAAUAAAAGAGGAAUGAGCCAUAACAAAUUCAUCCCUCCCAGGAGGCAGGUAAUGGAUGGAGCCCAAAAUCCCUCUCGGUGCCUGGAUGGGAGGGAGGAAUGUGGAGCUCCUGGGGUUACUCUGCUGAGGGGGCAGCAGCUCAGCAGAGCAUCUGUGACACGAGGGCUGGGCCCGCCGUGGCUGUGCUUCCGCUGCUGCAUCCCAGGAUCCCGAAUUAGCUGUGGAAUGGGAGUGCUGGUAUUUAUAACCAGGGUGUGCCAGUCCUGCCUUUCCUUUAAUAGGUGUCCCUGGGCAGGUUCCUCUCCCAGCUGCGUCCAGCACGGCUUUCAGGAGCUCUGAUGAACCCGACAGUCAGGACAGGCUCCUGCUUCCAGCCACAGCCAGCACUGGAUGCUCUCCUUCCCAAACCACCUCAGCAUCUUCCUUCUCACAGCAGUUUCAUUAUGAUUAAAAAAUUGGGAUGCUCAUACAUGUGUCCCACUGAGUGACAACAUGACCUGUGUGCUGAGCUCCUCCCAUGCCUGGAAAACUCCCCGUGGAAAUAAAAACUCAUUUUUGAGCCCCAGGGUCAGCGUGGCAGCGAAUUCCACCAGAGGAACACGCACAGCCAGGGCAGGAGAGGGCCUGCUUUGAUAUCUUUAACAUCUGAUGCCUCCAGUUUCAAAAGCACUUUGAAAGUUUGAGAUGGAAAAACUGCUGCAGAAAGGCCAAAAAUGCUGGAGAAGGGAAACAAUCCACAUUGUUUUGCUGCUCUGCCAAAUGGGAAUGAAGCUCCUGAAUGCAGCAUAAAAUAAUAUUGAGGGAGUGACCCACUGAGCACAUGUGGGGGACCAGAGUUGCUUUGUUCCCACUCUGUGGCUCGGUGCAAAUUUAGCUUUCAGUAAGCCACUGAACUUUCCUGACUCAUUCCUCACUGCUGUUAAAGGUGGGUGAUGCUCAUUUCCCUAUGGAUUGUUAGGAGCACUGGUGAUUUAUUAUGUAAAGCGUGGACAAAUUAAUUCUAAGUGUUAUAAAAAAGAAAUAAAUAAAUCCAGUAUAAUACAAGCAACAAUCACUGAAGGAGGAAAGAAUCGAGAGCUUUCAGACUGAGCAUUGUUAGAGGUUUCAUUUGAAUGGGGAGCAUGAGGGGUUUGGUAAGUGGCAGCUGGAAACAAGCAAAAUGUCAUCUGAAAGUGAAAUAAUUGAAAAGAUAUUAAAGCAGAGCCAGGGCUGGUGCAGCUGGGUAUAAAUGAAAUAAGCUAUUAGCUGCUCUGUGAGAUACCAGCAGGGGAGAGUUUUUGUUAGAGCAGAAAUGCAGCAGUGGUGAGGGGAAAACAGCCCUGGCAGCUCCUUUGUGGGGCUGGGAAACAUAAAAAGGCCCCCAGUGCUUCGCAGACCUCAAAUUUGUUGCUCUACACCCACCUUUGUGGGUGCUGUGGGAGAGCUGAUCUUUGUGCUAAACCACUGCCUGUUCUCGAGCAGGUGGGUCUGGGCUGUGGGGAGCCCUGGAAAGUACUGCAAGUUUGACAAAACCCUGGAUUUUAAACUUUUUGGUGAAGCAGAGAGGGAGGCUUUUGGUCCUUGGCUGAGGAGGAGUACCUGGCUCAGCGUUCCUUGUCCUGAUCCAACUUUGCUUUGCCCCUCAUUAAACCAGUCCCUGAAUCCACAUUUGGCCCCAACUGGUGCAAAUUUCUUACUCUGCCAUGCAAAAAAGUGAACGCAAAGCCUAAGACAGAUGCUUGUGAAGUCUCUGGGACAGCCCUAUUUAACCUUCCCUUCUGUUGGAACCCACGUUCCAACAAUAAUUGUGGGAUGGUGUCCUUCACGCUGCAGGCUGCAAUUAAUUAAUGGGUAAUUAUCAAGGGAGGUUCCUGGCCAGGGCUGGACUGCACAGCCCCACAUCGGUUUGGUUCCAGUGACACAUCGAUUUCCAGCCCAGACUGUCCCACCCCAUGAAUCAGUGAGAUUCCCUGGACUCUAAACCGAACAGAGAUGGAUAUUCCACUGGCUCUCGGGGAGUUGGGACUGUCCAGAGGCUGCAGGAAUGGAAAGGACUUUGUCACAUCGGUGACCCAGCCCUAUCAGCUCCGGAGAGGAGCUUGCAGCAGUUUUUCCUGCUCGAGAUGAAUUCAAGGGCAUUCAAAGCUGAUAUUUG